UACGAAGGGGGCUAGCGUUGCUCGGAAUCACUGGGCGUAAAGGGUGCGUAGGCGGGUCUUUUAUGUCAGGGGUGAAAUCCUGGAGCUCAACUCCAGAACUGCCUUUGAUACUGAGGAUCUUGAGUUCGGGAGAGGUGAGUGGAACUGCGAGUGUAGAGGUGAAAUUCGUAGAUAUUCGCAAGAACACCAGUGGCGAAGGCGGCUCACUGGCCCGAUACUGACGCUGAGGCACGAAAGCGUGGGGAAUCAA
rnacentral:rRNA from 1 species